rnacentral:rRNA from 1 species
GAUGAACGCUGGCGGCGUGCCUAAUACAUGCAAGUCGAGCGAACGGACGAGAAGCUUGCUUCUCUGAUGUUAGCGGCGGACGGGUGAGUAACACGUGGAUAGCCUACCUAUAAGACUGGGAUAACUUCGGGAAACCGGAGCUAAUACCGGAUAAUAUUUUGAUCCGCAUGGUUCAAAAGUGAAAGACGGUCUUACUGUCACUUAUAGAUGGAUCCGCGCUGCAUUAGCUAGUUGGUAAGGUAACGGCCUACCAAGGCAACGAUGCAUAGCCGACCUGAGAGGGUGAUAGGCCACACUGGAACGGAGACACGGACCAGACUCCUACGGGAGGCAGCAGUAGGGAAUCUUCCGCAAUGGGCGAAAGCCUGACGGAGCAACGCCGCGUGAGUGAUGAAGGUCUUCGGAUCGUAAAACUCUGUUAUUAGGGAAGAACAUAUGUGUAAGGAACUGUGCACAUCUUGACGGUACCUAAUCAGAAAGCCACGGCUAACUACGUG